CGGGGCGUGCCCCCAGAAGCCUUUGCGCGUUCAGUGUUCAGUGACCCAGCUCGCCAUUUUGAGGGGUAGCCUGUGGCGCCGCGCUCUCUUUGGCUGGGUGACUCCUGAGCCACAUUUUGAAGAGAGACGUGCUGGUUCUGAAGUAUGGUGAAUUCACUUCCAGGACACUCAGAUCUGGCUGGCCCUUGCAGCUCCAGAGGAAUUGUUUUGCCUGGCUUAUUUUGUGGAUAGAAGGCUCAGCUGCCUUUUCUCACACUCUGGAAUCCAGCAGACGUUUUCCUUGGUCAUCAACAGAGAAGUGGGGAGUCUCUUCUCUUAAUGUGCUAAUAAUCUCCUGCCAAGUUCCAGAGUACUCUCGCCUUUCCUUGAAGAUGCUGAUUAUUUGUUCAUUGCUCAAGACAUCUGGAUACCUUGUAUCGUGGCUGUUAUGAAGAGUGCUGCAAUGAACGUGGGAGUGCAGAAACUUGGUUGAGAUCUUGAUUUCAGUUCUUUUGGACCUAUACACAGAGGUAGAGAAGGAAAGGAGAGGAGAGGAGAGAGAAUGUUUAUCAAACAUUCUGGUGUGGUGGGAUGACUACGUGUCCCAGUUUACAUCAUUGACCUGAUAUUCCAACUGCUUCCCAUUUCACCUGAAUUGUCCUGUGUGACAGAAUAUUGUCUGUAAUGUUUGCAAUAAAGUAAUCCAGAAUGGACAGAGUAGACCUCC